rnacentral:rRNA from 1 species
GAAUGCUGACAUAAGUAACGAUAAAGCGGGUGAAAAGCCCGCUCGCCGGAAGACCAAGGGUUCCUGUCCAACGUUAAUCGGGGCAGGGUGAGUCGACCCCUAAGGCGAGGCCGAAAGGCGUAGUCGAUGGGAAACGGGUUAAUAUUCCCGUACUUGGUGUUACUGCGAAGGGGGGACGGAGAAGGCUAUGUUGGCCGGGCGACGGUUGUCCCGGUUUAAGCGUGUAGGUGUGUGUUCCAGGUAAAUCCGGUUCACUUUAACACUGAGGCGUGACGACGAGGCACUACGGUGCUGAAGCAACAAAUGCCCUGCUUCCAGGAAAAGCCUCUAAGCAUCAGGUAACAUCAAAUCGUACCCCAAACCGACACAGGUGGUCAGGUAGAGAAUACCAAGGCGCUUGAGAGAACUCGGGUGAAGGAACUAGGCAAAAUGGUGCCGUAACUUCGGGAGAAGGCACGCUGACACGUAGGUGAAGUGAUUUACUCAUGGAGCUGAAGUCAGUCGAAGAUACCAGCUGGCUGCAACUGUUUAUUAAAAACACAGCACUGUGCAAACACGAAAGUGGACGUAUACGGUGUGACGCCUGCCCGGUGCCGGAAGGUUAAUUGAUGGGGUCAGCGCAAGCGAAGCUCCUGAUCGAAGCCCCGGUAAACGGCGGCCGUAACUAUAACGGUCCUAAGGUAGCGAAAUUCCUUGUCGGGUAAGUUCCGACCUGCACGAAUGGCGUAAUGAUGGCCAGGCUGUCUCCACCCGAGACUCAGUGAAAUUGAACUCGCUGUGAAGAUGCAGUGUACCCGCGGCAAGACGGAAAGACCCCGUGAACCUUUACUAUAGCUUGACACUGAACAUUGAGCCUUGAUGUGUAGGAUAGGUGGGAGGCUUUGAAGUGUGGACGCCAGUCUGCAUGGAGCCGACCUUGAAAUACCACCCUUUAAUGUUUGAUGUUCUAACGUGGACCCGUUACCCGGGUUGCGGACAGUGUCUGGUGGGUAGUUUGACUGGGGCGGUCUCCUCCUAAAGAGUAACGGAGGAGCACGAAGGUUGGCUAAUCCUGGUCGGACAUCAGGAGGUUAGUGCAAUGGCAUAAGCCAGCUUGACUGCGAGCGUGACGGCGCGAGCAGGUGCGAAAGCAGGUCAUAGUGAUCCGGUGGUUCUGAAUGGAAGGGCCAUCGCUCAACGGAUAAAAGGUACUCCGGGGAUAACAGGCUGAUACCGCCCAAGAGUUCAUAUCGACGGCGGUGUUUGGCACCUCGAUGUCGGCUCAUCACAUCCUGGGGCUGAAGUAGGUCCCAAGGG